UACGUAGGUGGCAAGCGUUGUCCGGAUUUAUUGGGCGUAAAGCGCGCGCAGGCGGUCUUUUAAGUCUGAUGUGAAAUCUUGCGGCUCAACCGCAAGCGGUCAUUGGAAACUGGGGGACUUGAGUACAGAAGAGGAAAGCGGAAUUCCACGUGUAGCGGUGAAAUGCGUAGAGAUGUGGAGGAACACCAGUGGCGAAGGCGGCUUUCUGGUCUGUAACUGACGCUGAGGCGCGAAAGCGUGGGGAGCAAACAGG
rnacentral:rRNA from 1 species